rnacentral:lncRNA from 10 species
AGACAUUUCGCUGCUGCACGAGAGGGAGAGAAAGCAUAGCAUCGCCCCGAGAUAACCAGAAAUACAAUCAACUUACAACGUCUCUCCAAACUGGAAAAGGCGACUGUGCAACCACCACCACAUGUUCAGGUCUCGAUCCCUCGGGCUGUCUCUCUUUUUUUUUAACUCUCACGCCAGGCAGAGGGGUGUGUGUUUCCCUUGGCACAGCAGCACAAAUCAAUAAACACUGCAGCUGCGGUGCAAGUAGCAGCCCCGCGCGUCCGUCGGUCCGUCCGCCCCCUCCCCCACCCUCCUUCCACCCGAGACCCAGAGCGCCAUCCAAGCCCCAUUAUCCGGCUUCAGCGCUCCGUGCGUCCGGCCCAGGUAACAACUUCCCCAAAAACCGAAAGAGAAAAGCGCGAGGCGCACGCACACCGGCCCAUCCCGGCGCAGAGACCUCGUCUGCCCCGGGAGGGGGAUCUGUCUGUGGUGCUUCCCGGUCUCUAAGCCCAGGUGAUGUACCUGCUCCCCCUUCACCUUCUGCCAUAAUUGGAAGCUUCCUGAGGCCCUCACCAGAAGCAGAUGCCGGCACCAUGCUUCUUGUACAGUCUGCAGAACUGUGAGCCAAAUAAACCUCUUUUUAAAAAUAAACUACCCAGUCUCAAGUAUUCCUUUAUAGCAAUGCAGAAAAGACUAACACACCUUUCUUGGGAGAAGAGGACAGAAACAUGAAUGCCUUUCAUGGACCAUGAACCAUGUGAGAUGCUUUCCAAGUCAUUGUCUUACUGUUCAUAGAAUUGUCUCACUAAAUCCUCAGAAGUCUUUUAACCUGGGAGUUAAUUAUUCCCAUUCUACAGACUCAGAAAAGUUAAGCAACUUAUCCAAGGUCAAGCAGCUAAGAAGUGGAACCAGGCCCUUUUGGAUAACAUUUUCAUCACACUUGUGGCCUUCUUAAAUCUCUAUCCCCCAAAAUAAUUUUGGCAUACACACCUGCUCUCUGCCAUUUGCCAAACACAAGCCACCGUUGAGUUUCACAUUUUGUGAAAUGCAGGCAUCACUACAGUUGAUGUACAGAAGAACCCAAUGAGGCUGAGAAUGCUUACGCGCAUCACCUCGGAACUGCUGCAUGCGUCAAAAAACAUGGAAUAGUUGCUCCCUUGCAAUUGCUGUCAGGUGCCUGCUGCUUCCACCCACUUUGACACUCCAGGCUGUGGGUGCUGCUUGGGGUCCCCAAUGGGCCCAGCCUCCACAG